rnacentral:misc_RNA from 1 species
GUUGAGAUCCAUUUUUGUCAGAUGACUAUCCUUGCUGACUUGUACCAUAAGCAACAAUAUCUCACCAUCAUUUCGGACUUUAGUCUUUUGCUUCGCGUUUCGCGAAACAUCAAAGCUUCUUGUGCAUACUCCAUCUUCAAAGUGUCUUUUCCACCCAGCAAUGAUUCUACAAAAUUCUCAUAUGAGUCGGGGAGUGAAGUAAGAAGCAAUAAAGCCCUAUCUUCUUUCUCAAUCUUCAUAUUAACUUUUGCUAGUUUACUUAAAAUCCCAUUGAACUUGUUCAAAUGCUCCACCAGAUUGCCACUCUCUACCAUCUUCAGUUUGU